AUUGAACGCUGGCGGCAGGCUUAACACAUGCAAGUCGAGCGAGCGGCGGACGGGUGAGUUAUGUCUGGGAAACUGCCUGAUGGAGGGGGAUAACUACUGGAAACGGUAGCUAAUACCGCAUACCAUCAGAUGUGCCCAGAUGGGCUGAGCUAGUAGGUGGGGGAAUGGCUCACCUAGGCGACGAUCCCUAGCUGGUCUGAGAGGAUGACGAGCCGCCAGUGAACUGAGACACGGUCCAGAGUCCUACGGGAGGCAGCAGUGGGGAAGUGGGGGAAAUGGGCGCAAGCCGGAUACAGCCAUGCAGCGUGUGUGAAUGAGGCCUUCGGGUUGUAAGGCACUUUAAGCGAGGAGGGGUUAGUCGCAGAAGAAGCGCCGGCUAACUCCGUGCCAGCAGCCGCGGUAAUAC
rnacentral:rRNA from 1 species